GGUCCUUCAACCCACGGGCACGCCAAUCGCGCCGUGCCGCAAACUUCCUAGUUGUUUUAAUGUGCUAUAGCUGAUCUUCGCCAUCCGCUUUCCCUGGGUCAGUAGCUACCUGAGGUUGUUGCUGCUAUCUAUGCCUAGUGAUAGUACCCCACGAUUACCAUUUGUUCUUUUUUAUUGUGUGUGAUUUGCAGCACUACAGACAUGCAGGACAUCAGGACUACCGAAUGCUUAGAUCGGCGUCGUUCUCAGGCCCACUGAAGGCUAAUCUGAAGAAGCUUGCUGCUGUUGAACUGUUUGUCAUGCAUGUGUAACUCCAUUUGUGCAUUUGUGCUGCUUUGAAAUGCAACUUGAUCCGUUGUUUUUACUAGAUGUUGUUUACGGUGACUAAAUUAUGUUAAUUGGUGCGUAAUUGUAGGUCCCUGAAUUCAAAGAAUGUGAAAGAGCUUAUUUACAAAGAAGGGUCGUGGGUUGUUCGGCAAGGAACCUUUCCCCCUUUAUUGCUCGAGUUUAUCUUCACUAUGUCUCUUUGAUGCUCUCUUUCAGUGUCAGUCUCAGUUUAGCAGGUGGUUAUGUCAGGGUGGGGCAAGUUGAAAUCCCUGCAGUCAUGCAACCUGUUGGCUGCUGCUGAUCUUCAUCAGCGAUGACCACUUCCUUCCCAAGACCACCAGCUCCCACUCCUCCCCGAGAACAGGACUUGAAGCAACCAGUUACUCUGCUUCCCCUUCGUCACCAAGGAAAUAACAGCAGAAGGCCCAAAAAUACCCAGAUGCAGCAAUAGUGUGUAAAUUAGCCUAUGUUUUGAUUUUUUUCAGGGACGCCUAUAAAGGCUGAGAGCUGGCCCCACGAUAAAACUGGAUAAAAACCAGAUUGAAAUAAUGAACAAUUUUCUUUGUUA